CUCCUCCAUGCCUUCUGCCAUGAUGAUCAUGGACUCUAACCCUCUGAAGCCAUGAGCCCUCAGUUCGCUCCUUCUUCUCUAUGUUACCUUGCUCAUGAUGUCUUUCUACAGCAACAGAGAAGUAACUAAGUCACAUCUCAAGAAAUCUGAAUGUAUGGCCUAUUUACUCUACACUGUUGGAUGGCAGAUUCUAUGGACAAGCCUAUGUUCUCCACAUUGUCUCUGUUCUUUCGAUUAUCCUCUGCCAACGUCUCAAAUGGCAUUGACGUUCUUUCCAGGCCUGCUUGAAGUUUUUACCAAAACAACCAGGGACAUUUACACACUACUCUGAGUUUCUCAUGAUCUGUCUCUUGCUUUUUGAUCUCUCAUCCUUGAUUAUGGCACUGUCCCUUCCUUCCUGCUCCUUGGAAUUCCCAAAGGAGAGGGACUGAAUGCUCACUGGUCGUUCACUGCCAAGCCCCACCAUGCCAUACUGUUGGUCUUUCAGAGCGAAGCAAACGUAGCUCCUUUUUGUAUACCUCUGGCUUUGACCUCUUCAUUUUCCGGCCUGAGUUUCAGUGAAUACUGGAGGUGGAAAGGCCAAAUGAGCCUGAAGCUUGUCCUACUCACAGAUCUGCCUGUCUGCAGUCACUUUGAAGAUCUCAAAGGUGGUGACAACUUCGUUAGUUAUGUGUGCCCCAGCAGAUGGAGGAGCUGAACGUUACUUAGGGAUCACUCCCCUGUUGCUGGACAUCUAUGUUAUUUUCAUUUAUUCUCACUUAUUUCUGCUGGUACUGGGGGUUAAAUCCAGGGUCUGUGCAUGACUGCCAAGUACCCUACCACUGAGAACUGCAUCCCAUCUUGUUUUACUAUUUUUAUUUUGAGACACUGUCUCCCUCAACUGUCCACACUGGCCUUGAACCCAUGACCCUACUGCUUCAAGUCUUCUAUUUCUUUUUUCUUCUUUUUGAGACAGUGUUUUGUUAUGUUGCCCAGGCUGGCCUUGAAAUAGAAAUUUCCCUACUUCGACUUUCUGAGUGGUGGGAUUACAGAUAUAAGCCGUUACAUCUGUUCAUAUUUUUUAUUGCUGCUACCGUGACCUUCAGUAUGCUUGAAGUAUCUUCCUGCAUCCAGAGUUUUACUGACAUCAGAAGUAUAAAGAAUAUAAACAUUUCCCACAAACACAAUUUUUUAUUAUAAAAUAAUACUUGGUAAUGGUGCUAUUAUCUAUUUACUUACAUCUUAGGGCCAGCAAGAUGGUUCCGUGGGUAAAGGCACUUGUUACCAAGCCAAGCCUGAUGACCAGAGUUUGAUUCCAGGACUCACAUGGUGGAAGGUGACAAGUUGUCAUCUGACCACCUCAUACACUCCUACAUACAUACAUACAUACAUACAUACAUACAUAAAAUAAAAAUUUAAAGGAUGUUCUUAUAUACAUACAUAACACACACACACAUAUAAUUGCUUUUGAAAUAAAUAACUGAGCUCAUGUGUGUAUGCGCGCGCGUGUGUGUUCCUCUGUGUGUGUGUGUGUGUGUGUGUGUGUGUGUGUGUGCUCAUGAGUGUGCAUACGUUCCCACCAUAUUUCAAGAGCAGAGAUGAGAGAUCACCUUCCUCCCUUGCCUUCUGCUUUGUAAAGACAGAACGUAGUGUUAAAGCUGCUGCGCUGUGAACUCCAGUUCCUCAGACUGGCCGACCCGGAGCUUCUGGGUGAUUCUCCCAUCUCAUCCUAGGAGUGCUGGGACUGCAGAAGCUGCCAUCACAUCUGCCUUUUUUUUUUUUUUUAAAGAAAAAGUUGGAGGUUUUUGGGGAAUGAACUCGUAUAGCUAGUGCUUUUAUGCACAGAACCAUCUCCCUGUCUCCUUGUACACAUUUUUGAGGAAGAAAAUGGACUCUAUCCUUCUAGAAUCUGCUCAUCCUGUCCCCUGGGACCCUUUGCACCAACGGCGUUCUCAGCAGGAAACGUUCUUGACUUCUCCGUGACUGGAUUCUUCUAACUUUAAAAGUUAAGAGACUUAGGAUUUCAAAUUAUUUUGCAUGGAGUUUCUUGUAAUGGUCAGCAUCUGACAUCCUCCUUGGUUUUCCUAUUUUCUGUCUCUCCCAAAGGCAUCAAUAACCUAAUCUGUUUUGUUAACCCUCAUAACUCAGCAUUGGGCACAGCAGCUACCGUGGUCAUGGUAGCAGCCCAUAUGUGGUCAUGCAUAAAGACCCUUGAAUUCCAGAUUCACGGCUGCUCAUGAGAACUUCUUCCUGGCCUGUCCUCAGUGGGGUUUGAAGCACUGGUGUCCAACAGGUCAGUCUUUCCUCUCCCUCUUACCUCCUUGCUUUGGUCAGUCAGUAGCUGACUCCCUGUGGUUAUAGGAGGAAGAAUCUGGAUUUUAAGAAUUUGACUCAAUGAAAAAUAAAUAUGAGAGGGACAGAAAACAACAUAGAUGUAAAGAACUAUUCAAGGUAUAUGAUUUGUGUAAAUUAUGCUUGGUUUUCUGUUCAAGAUUUUUUAAAGUUAAAUCUGAUUUUUCCAUCAAAGAUCAGCUGGUUUCUUCCCUUACGGUUUGUAGCUAGAAUGACUUAUAAAGUGACUUUCUUGUUUUGUUUAGGGUAAGUUUUCUUUGUGUAUUUAUUAAACAUAAAUAGCUAUGUUUAAUACUUUGCAGGUAAACAGAUUAGCUUUUGCUCAAGAAGUCAGAAAAUAAGUUCUGAAUUCUUCUAUGCCUAUUUCUAUGCUGAACCAGGUCUGUUCAAAAAUAAAUAUUAAAUGAG